CGAGAAUUUUUGCUGCCCGAUUUUACUCUAAGCUGAAUGCUGAAGCAGUGUAGCUUAUUCAAACGGAGCAUUGCUCUACGCGCAGUGAAAUUAUUUGCGUGGAUCACAAUACUCGGUUCUGCUCAACUCUAGAAGACGAUCUGCAGAUGGUAAUAUUGAGUGAUUCAGAGUAGACGACUUCACUCGUUUGGAAGUUCUUGACGAGCAAAGGUUGAGUGUGAAAUUGUCUUCAAAAAGUAUAAAUUUUGUGAAUUGAUCAUUUUAAAAGAAAGGAAAUCGCCUGGAACUUGAUCUUGCCAGUUAUCGGCCAUUCAAGUCAACAGUACAGGUGAAAUGUAGGAGAAGCCCUGCGAUAAUAUUCAUGUCCUGUCAACAUAGUUUUCCUAAUUAUACCACUGAAGACAACUUCUGAAAUCCAUCUGGUUACAAGAGCGAACCGACGCCACUGUUGUGACGUCACGGGCGCCUCUGGAAACAUUGAUUGGCGCCGGCGUCGACAUUCUGUUCCUGCAGAGGCGUCUCUCCAGGUCUGGUAAAUGUCGAUCUCUCUCCCACCCGAUCGUGAUAGCCUACGUCAAGUUUCCCUUUUUGGCAGACAUCUUGAUUCUCGGCAUAGGCCAAUUUCCAAACUAAGAGAAAAAAUUGGCGGGGGAGGCGCUACGUCUUAAUUGUCUUUAUUGCUAAAUAAGGGUGUCUAGUGAUUUUAUAAGUUCACGCUAAGAGAAUUUUUCCCCUUGUGACUUCCUAUAAGAACGUAAACUACUUUUGAUUAGAUACGAAUUAUGACUUAAUUAUAACGAUA